GACGAACGCUGGCGGCGUGCCUAAUACAUGCAAGUCGAACGAGAGCGACCGGUGCUUGCACUGGUCAAUCUAGUGGCGAACGGGUGAGUAACACGUGGGUAACCUGCCCAUCAGAGGGGGAUAACAUCCGGAAACGGAUGCUAAAACCGCAUAGGUCUUCGAGCCGCAUGGUUUGAAGAGGAAAAGAGGCGCAAGCUUCUGCUGAUGGAUGGACCCGCGGUGCAUUAGCUAGUUGGUGAGGUAACGGCUCACCAAGGCCGUGAUGCAUAGCCGACCUGAGAGGGUGAUCGGCCACAUUGGGACUGAGACACGGCCCAAACUCCUACGGGAGGCAGCAGUAGGGAAUCUUCCGCAAUGGACGCAAGUCUGACGGAGCAACGCCGCGUGAGUGAAGAAGGUUUUCGGAUCGUAAAACUCUGUUGUUAGAGAAGAACAAGUGCUAGAGUAACUGUUAGCGCCUUGACGGUAUCUAACCAGAAAGCCACGGCUAACUACGUG
rnacentral:rRNA from 1 species